rnacentral:rRNA from 1 species
GAUGAACGCUGGCGGCGUGCCUAAUACAUGCAAGUCGAGCGAACGGACGAGAAGCUUGCUUCUCUGAUGUUAGCGGCGGACGGGUGAGUAACACGUGGAUAACCUACCUAUAAGACUGGGAUAACUUCGGGAAACCGGAGCUAAUACCGGAUAAUAUUUUGAACCGCAUGGUUCAAAAGUGAAAGACGGUCUUGCUGUCACUUAUAGAUGGAUCCGCGCUGCAUUAGCUAGUUGGUAAGGUAACGGCUUACCAAGGCAACGAUGCAUAGCCGACCUGAGAGGGAGAUCGGGCAGACAGGAACUGAGAAACGGCCCAGACUCGUACGAGGGGCAGAGUGAGGGGCUGUGGGGGAAAGGGUGAAAGCGUGAUGGAAAAAUGCUGCGUGAGGGAAGAAGGUAUUAGGAUCGUAAAACUAUGUUUGUAGGGAGGAACAUAUGAGUAAGUAACGGCGAACAUCUUGGCGGAACCCGCUCAGAAAGACACGACUCGUGACGUG